UUUCUGGGCAAAAUAGAACAAAAAAUGUAGCAGACAACAAUCUUGUGAAAAAAGUAAGCGUAGGUAUCACUAUUUCUUUGAGUCUCCUUUUCUCUGACUUUUCGUUUCAAAUUUAUUGGAAAAUCUGAGCGAUAGUUUGCAAUAAUUGUGAUUUUGUUGAGCUAUUAUCCCGCAAAAAGCAGCGAUUUAUUCAAGAUAAUUCCAGGUUUUUAGAACAGCACCUUUUAAGUUUUAGAGCUGGCUACAGUUGUUUAUUGGGGCAGUGUCUCAUCAGCGGCGCUACCAACAGCGGUGUUAUAAGCAAGUUCCAGAUUUUUGGAGCAGUGUCUCGCCAAGCUGCGCUACCAGCAGCGUUUUAAUAAGCAAGUUCCAGAUUUUUGGAGUAGUGCACACCAGCAGCAUCAUCACCUUCUACAACUAGGGAUUUUUCAAUUGCGUUUCAGCGUUUCCGCUCGGAUGACUAUGAUGAGGGACUUCGGUCUAGCCACUUAAACGUAUAAUUAUUUAAUAAUAUAACAGAUAGAAUUUAGAUGUGUAAGUUUUAAAUGGUAACGAAAAUAUAGUUUGUAAUAAAAUUCCCGUUAAAGUUAAGUUAUUUAAAAACUUAGUACGCAUAUAUACUUCAGAACUUAAGGAAAAAAAAUACAAAUAAAAUUCCAUACUUGAUGAUAUGUUAUUUUUAUUAGAAGUUAAAUAUAAUUAA